GACGAACGCUGGCGGCGUGCUUAACACAUGCGAGUCGAACGGAAAGGCCCUGCCUUUGUGGGGUGCUCGAGUGGCGAACGGGUGAGUAACACGUGAGUAACCUGCCCUUGACUUUGGGAUAACUUCAGGAAACUGGGGCUAAUACCGGAUAGGAGCUCCUGCUGCAUGGGGGGGGUUGGAAAGUUUCUGCGGUUGGGGAUGAGCUCGCGGCUUAUCAGCUUGUUGGUGGGGUAGUGGCUUACCAAGGCUUUGACGGGUAGCCGGCCUGAGAGGGUGACCGGCCACAUUGGGACUGAGACACGGCCCAGACUCCUACGGGAGGCAGCAGUGGGGAAUAUUGCACAAUGGGCGGAAGCCUGAUGCAGCAACGCCGCGUGCGGGAUGACGGCCUUCGGGUUGUAAACCGCUUUCGGCAGUGACGAAGCGUGAGUGACGGUAACUGGUAAAGAAGCACCGGCUAACUACGUG
rnacentral:rRNA from 1 species